rnacentral:rRNA from 1 species
GCAUAUCAUUAAGCGGAAGGAAAAGAAACCAACAGGGAUUGCCCCAGUAACGGCGAGUGAAGCGGCAAGAGCUCAAAUUUGAAAUCUGGCCUCCCUUGGGGGGUCCGAGUUGUAAUUUGUAGAAGGAUGCUUCGGGUGUGGCCGCCGUCUAAGUUUCCUUGGAACAGGACGUCGUAGAGGGUGAGAAUCCCGUCUUGGGCGGCCGGUCCGCGCCCGUGUGAAGCUCCUUCGACGAGUCGAGUUGUUUGGGAAUGCAGCUCUAAGCGGGUGGUAAAUUUCAUCUAAAGCUAAAUACUGGCCGGAGACCGAUAGCGCACAAGUAGAGUGAUCGAAAGGGUUAAAAGCACCUUGAAAAGGGAGUUAAACAGCACGUGAAAUUGUUGAAAGGGAAAGCGCUUGCGGCCAGACUCGAGGGGCGGGGUUCAGCGGGUGCGCGUCACCCGUGCACUCCCCGUCCCCCCGGGCCAGCAUCAGUUUCGACGGCCGGUCAAAGGCCCCCGGAAUGUGUCGUCUCUAGGGACGUCUUAUAGCCGGGGGUGCAAUGCGGCCCGCCGGGACUGAGGAACGCGCUCCGGCUCGGAUGCUGGCGUAAUGGCCGUAAGCGGCCCGUCUUGAAACACGGACCAAGGAGUCUAACAUCCACGCGAGUGUUCGGGUGUCAAACCCGUGCGCGCAGUGAAAGCGAACGGAGGUGGGAGCCCUAGGGCGCACCAUCGACCGAUCCUGAAGUCUUCGGAUGGAUUUGAGUAGGAGCGUGGCCGUUGGGACCCGAAAGAUGGUGAACUAUGCCUGAAUAGGGUGAAGCCAGAGGAAACUCUGGUGGAGGCUCGCAGCGGUUCUGACGUGCAAAUCGAUCGUCAAAUUUGGGCAUAGGGGCGAAAGACUAAUCGAAACCAUCUAGUAGCUGGCUCUGCGA